AGCGUAGGCGGACAUUUAAGUCAGGGGUGAAAUCCCAGAGCUCAACUCUGGAACUGCCUUUGAUACUGGGUGUCUUGAGUGUGAGAGAGGUAUGUGGAACUCCGAGUGUAGAGGUGAAAUUCGUAGAUAUUCGGAAGAACACCAGUGGCGAAGGCGACAUACUGGCUCAUUACUGACGCUGAGGCUCGAAAGCGUGGGGAGCAAACA
rnacentral:rRNA from 1 species